rnacentral:rRNA from 1 species
GACGAACGCUGGUGGCGUGCCUAAUACAUGCAAGUCGAGCGAACUUGCGGGAGCUUGCUCCCAAAAGUUAGCGGCGGACGGGUGAGUAACACGUGGGCAACCUGCCUAUAAGACUGGGAUAACUUCGGGAAACCGGAGCUAAUACCGGAUAAUUCUUUUCUACUCAUGUAGGAAAGCUGAAAGAUGGUUUCGGCUAUCACUUAUAGAUGGGCCCGCGGCGCAUUAGCUAGUUGGUGAGGUAACGGCUCACCAAGGCGACGAUGCGUAGCCGACCUGGGAGGGUGAUCGGCCACACUGGGACUGAGACACGGCCCAGACUCCUACGGGAGGCAGAAGUAGGGAAUCUUCCGCAAUGGACGAAAGUCUGACGGAGCAACGCCGCGUGAGUGAUGAAGGUUUUCGGAUCGUAAAACUCUGUUGUUAGGGAAGAACAAGUACUAGAGUAACUGCUAGUACCUUGACGGUACCUAACCAGAAAGCCACGGCUAACUACGUGCCAGCCGCCGCAGUAACAC